AGCAGAGGCUGGCUAGGGGUCAGCCAUACUGAGGAGAUAACACCGUCAUGCAGCCACACAGAAGAUGGAAGCUGCUAGAGUCAAGGGAAGCCAACCAUGAUUAGUGAAUCCAAGUCCUAAGGGGGUAUGGACAGAGCGGCUCCAUCCGCUCAGGGUCCAGGAGGCAGAAUUGGCAGAGAAAAAUCAGGGUGAGAUGAAAAAUGGCCAGUGGGAGAAAAUCAGAGGCAGGUGGUCUCUCUUAGGACACAGACAGGAAGCAGAAAGCCCUUGGGGGGAUUAGAUGGGCGAGUGGGUGGGUAUGAUAAAGUGACACAGAGGAAGGCUUAGAGAGGUGGGCAGUGACAGUGAUUCCAUCAAACUCAAGGCUCUCCAAAUAAUCUCUGCAAAGAACAGCCAGCAUACUGCAAGCCCACUGGGGUUGUCAGGACUGAAUUUCUUCUCUUGGGCUCUAGGGGGUUGUGCUAUGGCUAGCCAAAGUCCAGGAGCAACCCCAGAGCUAGAAUUUGAGCACUUUCAGGAACCCUCAGAAAUGACUCGAGAAGCCAAGCCUGGGUAUCAGUUAAAUGGUCUGAGGCUGUGGUAGGAUCAGAGGCUCCAACACUCCUCCUUUGGUUAAAUCUGGAAAGAAAAUGGGCUUGGUCUUCCAUGGCUUUAGAGACUAAGAGAAGUUUGGAGGUUUAGAGGACCUGCCUCUGCAGCUGGCCAUCAAGUCAUCCUCUAUUCAGAGGAUGCUCCCUAGGUCAUGGUCACCCCCAAGCUGGGAGUUGCUGCUGAUGUCAGGAGGCUCCAGUAGGACAGAAGUCAUUUGCCCAGCUCUUGUUCUAGAGAUGCAAAACCACAGAAGAGCCUGAGGUCUCCCUCUGUGGAGUGACUUCUGGAGAGAUUCAUAGAAAUGAUCACUCAGCCAGAAGAGGACCUAACACCACCCCCAAAACCAAUUGUAUCUAAGUCCAGGGUCACCUACACCACUUGAGGAAAAGCCUCCUCUUGCCCAGAAAUUGUCUACUGCUUGAGGAGGGACCUCAGGAGUCCCAUGACUUUCUUGAGAAUUUCAGGAGCCUCCCCCUCCUCCCACAAGGGAAUGCUUCCAUCUGGAAGUAGCAGCUGUGCAGCGCCCUCCCUCCGUGUGGCCACCAUGGGUACUUUGCAUCUAAAGCUCUGGAGGUCCAAAAACCUGUCCCCAAGUUAACUGUGAUCUGCAGUGCUGCAGCUCAGCCUAGGAAAGGCCUGGAAGUUCAGCAGAUUGGCCGCCAUGAUUGACAGGAGAAGUUGGACCUUCUGUUCCAUCUGGCACAGCCCCGAAUGAGCCCGGGCUCUUGGCCCUUGACUAAAUGUUACCAUGAGUCGUGACUUGACUGCUUCUUGUCUUGUCGCCCAGAGUAGACUACGGUGUCUUGAGUUUAGCCUCCUAUUUUGGGUCAAAAAUAAAUAAUUCAACCAAUGAUUAGAGGAGGAGGAAGAGAGAAGCAAGCUCAUUUACUGGACACCUGCUUUGAAAAGAGGCACUUAGCAGCGGCUGUGAAUCCAACCCUGGUUCAUAAAUUGAUGCCCUAACGCCUGAAGUAAGUAUUCCAGCUUUGCUUCUGUUGCUGGUGUGUCUUGUGCGCUUCAUGGGGUCCGGUCUGCACUUCAGAUUCUCAUCGUUCACCCUGCCAUGGGUUUGGAACCAAUAACCCAAGAGCAAACCCUUCAACACGUUGGCAUGACAAGUCAGAACCUUGGAACAGCACAAGCCAGAACUUCUGCCUCUAGAAGAUAAGAUCAGCCAUUCCGUGUUCUAUGCCCCCAGCAAACCAUUGAGGAAACUGUGGCUGGAGAAGGAUGAACAAGCAGUGAAGUAGCUCCCUCAGGAUCACACAGCUACACAGCAGAUGGGGGAUUCGAACACACAACCCAAGCAGUGAAGUAGCUACCUCAGGAUCACAGAGCUACAUACCGGAUGGGGGACUCGAACACAAAACCCAAGCCUCUUUUCAUUGGAACCAAAAGAAAUAGGGGCUUGGAGAGAGGAGUACAUGGCUCGGAGAGGAGUUAACAAAAGCCAAGGAGCAGUUUUGCUUUCUCUUAAGAGGAGGAAUCUCAAGUUCAUGCUGUGCCUACCGGAGUCUGAUACAUCACUGCAUCUAUUCACCUAGGAGUGGACACCGGAAUGACAUUGUUAGGGAGCUCAAAGUCAGAAACAAAGCUGUCUUUAAGGCAAACUGCACAGGCCCUGCCCUGUCUCAGGCUAGACCUUAGGUCUAGAGCUAGACCAUGGCAUCACAGGCUUAUAUAAUGUGGACACCAUUUCUCAGCAUUUCUAUUUCAGCUGAAACAGUAAUUUCAGCUUCAUAUCAGCUCUCGGGAAUGAUACCACCAGGCGAUUCAGGAUUCAGUAACUCCAAGUCCGUACACUUCAGUCCGACAUAAAGCGUAGCUUGUCUGUAUUGCCAUCAGAGGACAGAAAAGGAACGGGAGGCGUCAAGGGCAUGAGAUACCAAAUGAUGUAACUUAGAAGUUUUUACCAGAAACGGUGGCACUUGCAACCUUGGCUCUUCAGCCACGUAAGGGAUUCGUGUAUAUGUCAACAUUCACAUUCAUGUGUGCACAUGUGUGCCCCUGUGUGUGUGCAUACAGAGGAUAAAGAAUGUCAAGCAUCCUGUGCUGUUAUUCUCUGUCUUAGGGCCUCUCACUGAACCUGGAGCUAGGCUGGCAAUUGGCAAGCCCCAGGGAUCCCACUGUCUCCAGCUGCUAGAGCUAGGGCUAUGAGCAUACAGAUAGCCCUGCCUGCCUUUUUACAUCAGUUCUGAGGAUUUGAAAUCAGGUCUUCAUUCUUGUGCUAAAGUUUCUCUUCCAUCAUCCAGUAUUUGAACCACCCUCAGUCAAAUUUCAAAGCCUAUGCACUUAAUCCUACACUUGGAAAAUAACCAUUAGGAAACAACAGAGGCUAAACUUCAUCAUUAAGGUAUUUAUUGAAAAGCCACCCACAGCAGCAGAAAGAACUGAGAGACCUAAAUAAGAACUUAAGUAAUGGUACCAUCAAUACUGCUGAUCCUUCCCUUGUUCACAAGGCCCUGAGGCAGGCACUGCAGUAAGAACUUUAUGCGGAAUGAUCAAGUCAUUUUGAUGAUAGUCACCCCUCAGUUUAUCAGUGGGAUCCACAUCCAUGAAUCCAAUCAACCACUAUCAAGAACGUUCCAGAAAUUUUUCAUCUGUAAAAGCACAUAACAUGAGGAAGAAUAGUCCCAUGUUAUUUAAGCCACACUGACUUAUGGGUCUGCAACCAAGGUGUAACAGCUUCGCCAGACUGAUUCAUUAGCAACACGUUGGACUUUCUUAUUUCUCAUCACGACUGUCUGUGUAGCAUUUCCAUUGUAUGGAGUAUUACGAGGGACCUGAAGGUCACGGGAAAGUCAAAAGCUAUAUACACCUAAGUUCUAUGCAAGCACUGCACCAUUUUGCAUAAGAAAUUUGAACUUCUGUGGGCUUCACUCAGAGGUCCUCAUACCAACCCUUCCUGGAAUCUGAACCACAACUGUGUUUAUUGUGCAAACGAUAGUAACAGAGACUCCCACAAAUUUAUCUUAUGAGUAUUAUCAAGUAAUAUCCAAGCCUGCCUCUCUGGGACGGCAGGCUAAAUUGUACCGGAUUUCCUUCAUCAGUGGCUAUGGCUUUAUAAUGCUGUCAAGUAGUUUAUAAAGUCACCUUGACACUUCCAGACCCUCAGAGACUGCAACAACUGGGGUCACACCUGCUAUAACCCCUUGCCUACCAACAGUCACCCCAUAAUACACAUAUGACACAAGGAAGAAAUAAACCUGUGAUUUUGAAGCCACUGAA